UCCCUGGUAGUAUAUCGGAUAGUACACGCGCCUGUCAAUCAUCAAUUGCGGACGCGCGAGAGCGGGGUUCGACUCCCCGCCAGGGAC